UACGUAGGGGGCAAGCGUUGUCCGGAAUCACUGGGCGGUAAAGGGCGCGUAGGUGGUGGCUUAAGCGUGCGGUGAAAGCUCGGAGCUCAACUCCGAGUCGGCCGUGCGAACUGGGCUCACUGGAGCAUAGUAGAGGCAGGUGGAAUUCCGGGUGUAGCGGUGGAAUGCGUAGAGAUCCGGAAGAACACCGGAUGGCGAAGGCGGCCUGCUGGGGCUAUGGCUGACACUGAGGCGCGACGACGUGGGGAGCAAACAGGG
rnacentral:rRNA from 1 species